CGAGGGGCAAAAACACAACCCACUGGAAAUGCGACACGAAUGGCGCCACUAAGGGAGGAAGGCGGUGCCGACAGAUAACCCGCAGCAUCCAGCCAACCCAGGUAGCAUGCAGGUACGUAUUUCUCUUGGCGUUGAAGUUACCCCCCCAAAAAAAAAAAACUGAGCACAAAAAAAGUGAGCUCAAAGCCUAAUCAACUCCGCCUCCAUUGCUCCACUACGGCACGCAUGGCGCAAGGACGGAGAGCGGAGGAGAGGGGAGGGGGGAAGACGACCCACGUGAACGAGUGAAGCUGAUGCCAAGGAGGAUAUAGACUGACACGCCAGGAGUGAGCAAGCAAGCAAGCAUGCAUGCAAUAACUAAGCAGUCGCGACUUAUGAAGAAGAACUCUUCGCGGUGAGGGGAGCGGGGUGGGAAAAAAACCCAGCUCUACACCCCUCCCUACUCCACAUAAUUCCCCCAGAUGUCAUGUGCCGCCCUCCUCCCUCCCUCCAACAUUCCCCCAUCCCUCCCCACACCCCCGUUUCCGUACACCUUGAUGGCCACAUCCACGCCGUGCCACCGCGCGUGGUACACGGUGCCGUAGCUGCCUUGCCCCAGCACCUGCCCCACCACCAGCCCCUCGAACAUCUCCGUGAGCCCCUGGACGGGGUUGAUGGCGAUGUUGGGCGGCAGGCGGCGGCCGGUGGUGAGGAGGGCGGAGGGCGCCAGGGAGUUCACUGCGCUGUUGGCGGGCGGGUCGGG
rnacentral:lncRNA from 1 species